UUCAAUUUCGUCACCCAAAUCACCUCUCUCGCAAUUGCUACUACAAUGAGGAAACAAUUCUUACCUUCUUUCGAUAUGAAAUCGGACGGGUCAAUUUUUACUAUAGACUCAGCCGAUAGCUGUACUCUUCCUGCACUUAAACAACAGCUGUUCAGUAUAAACCUACACGUUUAACACCUCCAAACACUGAACAAUAGCGUGCGGGACAGUUUCCCUAUCUCACCCACAUCUUGGACAGGUCGAUGGGUCGUGGCCACCAUGCUUUGUGAGCAUGUCCUGGAUAGAUAAGGCUCCUCGGUAACACUGCCAUGCCAGAGAUUUCUGAAAAUUGUCUAGGAUCUUUGGCCCGAAUGUACGUUCGAACAGACUGACCAGCUUAUUAUCAUCGAAACCUAGGUUUUCCCCAAAGGUAUCGUCACAUUCUGCCUUUACCAACCCUCUAUAAAAGAAUGUGGUGGAACCACUAGAACAGGCAUUACCCGAGCCUCUCCUGAAGAAAAGUCUAAAGAAUUCUGGAAUGCACCUUAUAUAUUAUUUGUAAAUUUACAUGCAAAUUGUCACGACUACAUUUUGUCUUAUUACCACGUAUGCAAGUAUACUCAGAGUUUUUAUAAAAAAUAUUGCGUGUUAUUUUCUUUACUGAGAGAAAAAUGUAAUUUUACGCACGAGCUAAAAACAAUUUUCGGAUUCUGGAGUUGUACGUGCCUGGCACACCAAAAAAUUCCAGUCCGAUCCCUGAGAUCUACAAAAUCGCUUUAAAUGCAUUUUUGAUAAGAGGAACAUUCUACGGCUAUGUCAAAACAGCCAAGUCGAGCCGCGAGGGACCAAAAUAUCAAAAAGAAGGAAUUUCUGAUUGCAUAAGAUUCACACAAUAAUUUUUAAUCCAAGUAAUGUUAAAGUAUAAGAUCUGUUAAAACCGAAAUGAACGUAAUGAUAUUGCUAUACAUAAUGCUAUAUGAAAGAGAGAAAAAAAAAGUAAGCUUGAGAUCAAAGAAUAUGAUUGCGAAGUCAAAAGGCAGACGACAAAAAUUAUCAAUCCUGAACUUGAAAAACAAAAAUAUCAAGCUUGCAAAAGAAGACCAAAACUAAUGUUUAGUGAUUACUAGAUCUUUAUCUGUCGCCACAUUACCGGUGAAAAUGUUUGCUAAUCAUGCAGGCGUAGGAGUAGCUGUGUGAUGUCGUGACGGAAAAAUAGAGGGAGACCCGCUUCUCUUUUAUAAUAUGAAAUUAUGCAGGCAUGCAAGAGGAACAGUGUUAUAUGCUGAUUAACAAUAUACAAAUCAAGAAAUGAAAAAUUGAGUACGAAUGUCAACACCAAUCCAAAAUAGAAAAUAACAAGAAAUUGAAUGAAAAAAUAACAUA